GAAUGUUACUGUAAAUGAUAACCA
rnacentral:siRNA from 1 species